rfam:Myotis lucifugus cont2.22121, whole genome shotgun sequence.
GGCUAGAUAGCUCAGUUGGUUAGAGCACUGUCCCCAUAUGCCAAGUUUCGGGUUCGAUUCCCAGUCAAGUCA